CUUUGAGAUCCAGAACAGAAUAAUGGAUUGUGGAAGGAGGUAUUGAGAAUAGGAGAGUAUAUGGGUUUGGCACCAUGGGGUGGAUAGGCAAAACAAUUUGGUUGAUAAGGCAUAGAUCCUGAACUAACAUGUAAGGCUUGUCUGGUUUUAGGACAGGUAAAAUGGGGGAAUUGUGGGAGAGUUUAUAGGCUUUAAAAGGCCAUGCUGUAGCAGGCGAGUGAUAACAGGCUUUAAUCCUUUGAAAGCAUGCUGUGGGAUGGGAUAUUGGCAUUGAGUGGGGUAAGGGUGAUUAGGUUUUAAUGAGAUGGUAAGGGUGCAUGAUUGGUCGCCAAGGAGGGAGUAGAGGUAUCUUAUACUUGUGGGUUAAGACACGGAGAAGGGGUAGGGGUUUCUUGCCCUCCAGAAAAGCAGAGGAAGUGUUGGGGCAUGGAAAUAAGGAAUUGGGGCACAGAGAUAAGAGGUUGGGGUGCGGAAAUAAGGGAUUGGGGCACAGAGAUAAGAGGUCGGGGUGUGG
rnacentral:lncRNA from 1 species